rnacentral:rRNA from 1 species
GAUGAACGCUAGCGGUAGGCUUAAUACAUGCAAGUCGAGGGGCAGCAGCUUUAUAGCAAUAUAGAGGCUGGCGACCGGCAAACGGGUGCGGAACACGUACACAACCUUCCUUUAAGAGGGGGAUAGCCCAUAGAAAUGUGGAUUAAUACCCCGUAACAUAUCGGUGUGGCAUCACACUGUUAUUAUAGUUUCGACGCUUGAAGAUGGGUGUGCGGCUGAUUAGGUAGUUGGCGGGGUAAAGGCCCACCAAGCCUUCGAUCAGUAGCUGAUGUGAGAGCAUGAUCAGCCACACGGGCACUGAGACACGGGCCCGACUCCUACGGGAGGCAGCAGUAAGGAAUAUUGGUCAAUGGACGCAAGUCUGAACCAGCCAUGCCGCGUGAAGGAUGAAGGUCCUCUGGAUUGUAAACUUCUUUUAUAGGGGGCGAAAAAAGGGAAUUCUUUCUCACUUGACAGUACCCUAUGAAUAAGCACCGGCUAACUCCGUGCCAGCCGCCGCCGUAA